UUCCGGUUGAUCCCGCCGGAGGUUACUGCUAUCGAGGUUCGACUAAGCCAUGCGAGUCGAAUGUAGCAAUACAUGGCGAACUGCUCAGUAACACGUGGACAACCUGCCCUUAGGACGGGGAUAAACCCGGGAAACUGGGUAUAAUACCCGAUAGGUCUCGAUUGCUGGAAUGCAUCGAGAUUUAAAGCUCCGGCGCCUAAGGAUGGGUCUGCGGCCUAUCAGGUAGUAGUGGGUGUAGCGUACCUACUAGCCUACGACGGGUACGGGUUGUGAGAGCAAGAGCCCGGAGAUGGAUUCUGAGACACGAAUCCAGGCCCUACGGGGUGCAGCAGGCGCGAAAACUUUACAAUGCUGGCAACAGCGAUAAGGGAACCUCGAGUGCCAGGUUACAAAUCUGGCUGUCGAGAUGCCUAAAAAGCAUUUCAUAGCAAGGGCCGGGCAAGACCGGUGCCAGCCGCCGCGGUAACACCGGCGGCUCGAGUGGUAACCGUUAUUAUUGGGUCUAAAGGGUCUGUAGCCGGCCGGAUAAGUCUCUUGAGAAAUCUGGCAGCUUAACUGUCAGGCUUUCAGGAGAUACUGUCUAGCUCGAGGCCGGGAGAGGUGAGAGGUACUUCAGGGGUAGGGGUGAAAUCUUGUAAUCCUUGAAGGACCACCAGUGGCGAAGGCGUCUCACCAGAACGGACCUGACGGCAAGGGACGAAAGCUAGGGGCACGAACCGGAUUAGAUACCCGGGUAGUCCUAGCCGUAAACGAUACUCGCUAGGUGUCGGCCACGGUGCGACCGUUGUCGGUGCCGUAGGGAAGCCGUGAAGCGAGCCACCUGGGAAGUACGGCCGCAAGGCUGAAACUUAAAGGAAUUGGCGGGGGGAGCACCACAACGGGUGGAGCUUGCGGGUUAAU
rnacentral:rRNA from 1 species